ensembl:snoRNA
AUCCAAGUUGAUUCCCUCUCCAGGGGGCUUACUAGUGCCCCUCUUAGGAAAGUAGCAACUUGGAAUAAAACUGGCACGCCUCAGGUUUCCAGGGAAAAGGGGGUAUUUGUUUCCUUUGCCUUCUUGUGGCUGCCUACAUGU